AUUUAUACACAUUACAGGUAUAACUAUGCCAAUGAAGCUCUACCUUGCAACAGUAUAAUCGUUAACCAGCACAGUGGUAAAAACUUUUUCUUCACCAUGUUUUUUUCGUAGUAUUAUUUUGCUGGUUUAGCUAACUCAGAAGCUCAAUUUUACCGAUUCAUUGCAUUUACCCCGCAAAGCUUGUUGCGCGUUAAAAUUGAAUCUUUCUAAAUACCUAUAGUGAUAAAAUUUUUUUUUUUUAAUUCCUUUGCGUAAACAUAUAACGUAUAAUAUAUGUCAUAUAUUCAUAGCGAUAUGUUACCAGAUGAUAUAUUUUUUACAUUUAUUGUAGCUACACUCUUAUUGUGUCACAAUUAUUGUGUCGCCUGUAACAAAUAGGUAACGAUUACCUAAAGAAAUUAAUGUUUGUAUCUUUUAAUGAAAUGGGUUUUUCGCUUUUCCGAAAUC